AGCAAUACAAGAGGAGCCUUGUCAGCCUUUCUUUUCCUGCUGGUGCUCGUACUCUCUGUGGCCGUCUUCGAUUCCUACAAUGGCAGUGGAACAAGUUCCUCCGAACUCUCUUUCUUUCAUCUCUUCCCUGUAACCAUGUCUGCCCCCGCUCCCACUGAUUCUGCUCCUGCACCCAUGCCUGUCCCUCACGCUGACUUUGCCCCUGCACCGAUGCCUGCGGCUCCCAUCGAGUCUGCCCCUGCAACGCCCAACGACACACUUAGCACCGUUUCGAAUGCUUCGGUGAUACAAGGAAGAAGAAAGGCAGCGGUGUUGAGACGCGGAGGUGGGAGAAGAUGGAGGAGGGUCUUGCCAGGUCGAGGGCGGCCAUUAGAAGGGGUGUUAUGGCGAGAAUCUACACUUCUUGAAUUCGCCUGAGCUUCGUGCCGAGGGGGAACAUCUACCACAAUUCUUACGCAUUUCAUCAGUAAAUCAACUUUGUAUUUGCCUUCUUUUACAGAAAGUAAAAAGAACUAGUGAUCAAGCUUCCUAGGAGUUGAUCAGUCCUUGAUCACUUCAAGAAUAUUUUAACAACGAGCUUAUAAUUUGUAGAUGGCAUUUGAAUCCUGUUACUGAUCAGAUGUGAAAAUGGUAGUUAUUAUAGUCAUAGAUCUAGUUACUGACCAGCCAUGCCUAGUUUAAACAGGAGCUAUAUAGAGAUGGAGAAGAGGCUGAAGAUAUGGAUCAAUAGGGAAGAGGGCUCGCCCAUUUUCCAUGACGGGGCUAGCAUGGGAGUGUACUCGAUUGAGGGCCAUUUCAUCCAAGAGAUGGACAAGCAGAGGCUGCCCUUUAUCACCAGUGAUACAGAGCAGGCCUUGCUCUACUUCCUCCCUUUCAGUGUUCAAAGAAUGAGAAGGUUUGUCGCAUCCAAGGCCGGUGUUGUGGAUCUUCACCGAAUGUGGGCAGUCAUCAGUGACUACAUCCAAGUGAUAGCAAACAAGUACCCAUAUUGGAACAGCACAAAUGGUGCAUGUCAUUUCAUGGUCACCUGCCAUGACUGGGAGGCAACCAUGGAUCCGUCAGAAAGUUCCUCUUAGAACAGUGGGAUGGCAAGGACCCCCAAAUUCAAAUCUUUCAACGCUUGCCAAGAGGCUAAAGCUACAAGGAGCACAUGAUGAACGCCAAGUACUGCCUCUGCCCAAGUGGGUAUGAAGUCACCAGUCCCAGGCUCACUGAAUCCAUACUAGCUGGUUGUGUGCCAGUACCGAUUUCCGAUGGCUACGUGCUCCCCUUUAGUGAUGUUCUAGAUUGGUCUCAGUUUUCAGUUCCAAUUCCAGUUCAAAAGAUACCCGAACUUAAAAGAGAUUCCGAUUAACAUUCCUGAACAUUCAUAC